UACGUAGGGGGCUAGCGUUGUCCGGAAUCAUUGGGCGUAAAGCGCGUGUAGGCGGCCCGGUAAGUCCGGUGUGAAAGUCACAGGCUCAACCUGUGAAUGCCGCUGGAAACUGUCUGGCUUGAGUCCGGAAGGGGCGAGUGGAAUUCCUGGUGUAGCGGUGAAAUGCGCAGAUAUCAGGAAGAACACCCGUGGCGAAGGCGGCUCUCUGGGACGGUACUGACGCUGAGACGCGAAAGCGUGGGGAGCGAACAGG
rnacentral:rRNA from 1 species